ACCAAACCAAUUUGUAAGUCGCUCUGGAUAAGAGCGUCUGCUAAAUGUCAUAAA
rfam:Salmo salar isolate Sally breed double haploid chromosome ssa09, whole genome shotgun sequence.